CAGCCGCCACGGUAAUACGAAGGGUGCAAGCGUUAAUCGGAAUUAUUGGGCGUAAAGCGCGCGCAGGUGGUUCCUUAAGUCUGAUGUGAAAGCCCCCGGCUCAACCGGGGAGGGUCAUUGGAAACUGGGGAACUUGAGUGCAGAAGAGGAUAGUGGAAUUCCAAGUGUAGCGGUGAAAUGCGUAGAGAUUUGGAGGAACACCAGUGGCGAAGGCGACUGUCUGGUCUGUAACUGACACUGAGGCGCGAAAGCGUGGGGAGCAAACAGGAUUAGAUACCCGCGUAGUCCCUGUCUCUUAUAC
rnacentral:rRNA from 1 species